AUGCUGCAGCUUCUGAUUUUGAUCCUACCUCUACUGGGCACCCUUGUGAUAUAGAUGGUGAUGCUGAGCCUAAUAUCGAAGGUAAUGAACCAACAAUUUAACUUCUCUUAAAACAACAAUUGUUUGACCUUUCUAAUGUAUUGAUUUUGCACUGUAACUGGGUAGAGGAAACUGUGGGAACAAGACGUGGGAAGACAAAACUUAAACAUGUUUGGAACAUUCCAAAAGGGCAUAGGAUUGUAGUAAAAUGUAAUGAGUUUGACCAGCCGAUUGGAGAAGAAGCAGGAGUGCUUGGAAAAUUCCUUGGCAUGGUGGCAAGAAAUGGCUGCCUGUGUAGGUUAAGCUACAAGGAUUGGAGACUUCUGAUAGGAAAGAAAGAGAGAACUACCAAUGAGCAGAAAAAUAAAGAGGAUAUACUUAACCAAGUAAAGAAGAGAUUUCUUUACCCUGCACGCAUGGAAAAAUGGGUACUGCGAACCAUUGGAGAUAGAUGGAGGCAACACAAAUCCAAUCUGAAAUCUAUAUAUUUUGACGUGCAUAAGAGCAAAGAAGCUAAUUACAAAAAUGUUCCAGAAGGUGUGAUACCGGAUCAGUGGAUUGCGCUUGUCAAUAAUUGGAUGACCUUGAAAGCACAGGAUAUAAGUGAGGCGAAUAGGAUAAACUGUGCUAAGAAAAAGGCAAUUCAUACAACUGGGACGAAGAGUUUCGCUCGAAAUAGAGAA